UACGUAGGGUGCAAGCGUUGUCCGGAAUUAUUGGGCGUAAAGAGCUCGUAGGCGGUUCAGUAAGUCGGGUGUGAAAUCUCCGUGCUCAACACGGAGCGGCCACCUGAUACUGCUGUGACUCGAGUCCGGUAGGGGAGUGUGGAAUUCCCGGUGUAGCGGUGAAAUGCGCAGAUAUCGGGAGGAACACCAGUAGCGAAGGCAGCUCGCUGGGACGGUACUGACGCUGAGACGCGAAAGCGUGGGGAGCAAACAGG
rnacentral:rRNA from 1 species